rnacentral:snRNA from 14 species
UCUCCAGCCUGGCAGAGGAGACACCACAAUUAGGAUGGUGGUUCUCCCAAGAUUAAACCCAUUCCUUGCACUUUGAAUGUACCUACACUUUGCUCAAGUGCUGGAAAGUCAACUGCACAAUUUAUGUUAGUGGUACACGUUAACCAUGCUGUGUUCCA